UUCUCCUGCUGUGUGAGUCCUGAGC
rnacentral:piRNA from 1 species